AGCCGAUCUGGAUGAAGCAGGCGGAGGAGGCCAAGAUCAAGAGUGAGGCCGAGAAGGACGCCGCCGCCAAAGCCGCCUUCGAAGCCACCUUCAAAGCCGUCGGCGCCGCCCCGCCCCGUCCCCCCGACUCCGACGACAGCGACGCUGACGAGCCCGCGAACAAGCCCCUUGGCCCCGUUGACCCCUCUAAGUGCUCCGCCGCCGGCGUCGGCGUCGCCGGCGGCACCGCUGGCGCCCCCGCUACCUUCGUCGUCUCCACCAAAGACUCUG
rnacentral:misc_RNA from 1 species